AAGAAGUUUAGGAUAAACAGUCCAAGAGCCUUCAAAGCCCUUAGUAAACACACAAGUUUAACUUCUG
rnacentral:tRNA from 1 species